rnacentral:lncRNA from 1 species
AGCCAAUAAGAGAAUGGAAACUAUGUAAGACAACAAGAUUCGUAAAGUGGAGUGAUGAUGUUAUGUAAGGAUAAGACUGUAUAAAUGCCAAGUACUAAGAAUGAAGAGUUGGUUCUUCCAUGUAAUUGCUCAGCUUUGUUACUCUCUGUAAUAAAGUAUUUUUGAAUUCACAAACUCCGGUAUCUGAGAAGUAUUUGAUUCAAUAUUUUCCACAACACUGUCCACUCCGCGGACCUGGAGUGGGCCCAUUCCUCCAGGCUUGCCUGCCACCCGGGCUCCAAUUGGACCCUGGCCUUUGUGUGACAAUGCUUUUGGUGGCCUACUAUGGUUCCAGAUGUCGCAGCGUUUGUCGCCGCUUGCACGGUCUGUGCUCAGAACAAGACUCCUCGGCAAGCUCCAGCUGGUCUUAUUUAAACACUGCCUGUCCCUCACCAUCCCUGGUCCCACAUAUCCCUGGAUUGUGUCACGGGUCUCCCCCCAUCUGAGGGCAACACUGCCAUCCUGACUGUGGUCGACCGGUUUUCCAAAGCCAACCACUUCAUUCUUCUUCCCAAACUACCCUUGCCCAAGAAGAUGGCCCAGCUCAUGGUGCAGGACGUCUUCCGGAUCCCUGGACUGCCCACGUGGACAUGGUCUCCAACCGAGGUCCUCAGUUCUGGAAGGCCUUCUGCACCCUCAUUGGGUCAUCGGCCAGCCUGUCCUCUGGGUUCCACACCCAGUCCAACGGCCAGUCGGGGGGGGUGCCAACCAAGACCUCGAGACUACUCUGCGCUGCCUGGUCUCCGCCAACCCCACCACCUGGAGCCAGCAGCUUGUCUGGGUGGAAUACACCCGCAACACCCUUCUCUGCUCUGCCACGGGCCUAUCGCCCUUGGAGUGUUCCCUGGGGUAUCAGCUCCCGCUCUUCCCCGAGUAGGAAGAAGAGGUCGGCAUACCUUCUGCCCAGAUGUUUUCCCGCCGCUGUCGUCAUACCUGGAGGAGAGCCCGGUCAGCCCUCCUCAAGACCACCUGCAGGUAUUCAUGACAAGCGGAUUGCCAUCGGACCCGGGCUCCCUGGUAUCAUCUCGGGCAGAAGGGACAUCCUGGACCCAGGCCUCAUUUCGGAUUUCCAACGCCGACACCCCGGUCAACCAGGUAUGCAACCAGGUAUGCGCCCUAGGGGGGGUACUGUCACACCCUGAUCUGUUUCACCUGUCUUUGUGAUUGUCUCCACCCCCCUCCAGGUGUCACCCAUCUUCCCCAUUAUCCCCUGUGUAUUUAUACCUGUGUACUUUGUUUGUCUGUUGCCAGUUCGUUUUGUUUCUACAAGCCUACCAGUGUUUUCCCCUCCGUUCCUGUCUCUUGAUUGUUCCUGUUUUCUAGUUUUCCCGGUGUUGACCUUAUCUGCCUGCCCUGACCCUGAGUCUGCCUGCCGUCCUGUACCUUUGCCCCCCUAAUUUGGAUUACUGACCUCUGCUGACCCUGAGCCUGCCUGCCUUCCUGUACCUUUGCACAACCUUACUGGAUUACUGGUGAUGUAAAUGCACCUUCAAGAGCGAGGUAAUUGAUAUUACAGAACAAUGGUUUAGAAUCUGAAGGGUUGGCCCAAACAAUUUGGCUGGGAUUCAUUCUAGUGCUGUGAAAGCGUCUUGCCCGCUGCGCACUGAACUUCCUCCAAUGCACCUUUGAAAUUUCCCUGAUGGCACACAGGCUCUGCAUCAUUUCACAUGGGUACAUUUCUGUUUUCAAAUGUCAAGGAUCUAGGCUUACUGUACAGCAGCAUCUUGUACGCACUGCCAAUCUAGACUUAAAGGGGCAGUUUGGGAUUUUGCUUCAGCCCAGCGGCAACCCCGAUACUUAAACUGGGGGAUGGGACUGUAUACUGUAAGUGUAACAGAUUUCAAAUGUAGAGUAAUGGAUACAAGGGCUGACAGUCAAUGAGAGCAACAUGACAGCUUUUGCCAUAUUCUGAAGCUAUACAUUGUUUGUUUACGAAGACAUUGUUAAGCCGAUCAUAACCCCCCCAAAAAUGUUUUUUACUCUGUUGUUUUUAAAUCAAAAAUCAAAUCAAACUUUGUCACAUGCACCAAAUACAACAAGUGUAGACCUUACCAUGUAAGUAAGCAUUUCAUGACAAAUAAAAUUUGAUUUGAUUUUUGAUUUAUAAACAAAGAAGUAUUUAAAAAAAAAAAAACAUUUUUACAAUAAAGCACACGUAGCCUACAUAUUAAUACAUACACACAAACAAUCUUGGUCAAAUAAGAGUUAGUGAGGACAAGGACACAGCAGGCAAGGUCAGAGUUUCUCAAGCUAUUUGUGCCAGGGACCUGAACGCUAUCCCGCUGGGCACAAACUGGUUAUAUCAACAUUGUUUCCACAUCAGUUCAACAAACAUUUUAUGUGAUAAUGUUGAAUCUACAUAGAAAUCUGAUUGGAUUUGCAAAAAGUCAUCCACAUAAGGACUUUCAUUUAUUUUCUUUCAUUUUUUUCACGCAACUUUUUACUUUUAGGCUACUACCAGAUCUGUGUUGUUUUGCCAACUAUGUUCAGAGGUAGUCAUAGAGAAUGAAUAGGCAAAAUGUGGUUUAGGGGGUAUGACUUUGAAAUUCCACAGUAAAUUAAAGUAUUUUUACUAAUGAAUAUGCCUUAGAUAUGCUUUAAUGAGAUUUGGACUAAUGGCUUACUUUAUCCACACCUUACCUCAUUAUUCCAAUAUAGCUUUUGUUUAGGAUCCACUGCUGGAUUCCUGCCAGCCUGCCACUGUGAAAUGAACGCUAUUGUACCAAUUAUAAAAUGGAUAACAAACAACCUUUGAAUAUAGCCUAGCGGUUAAGAGUGUUGGGCUAGUAACUGAAAAGGCCGCUGGUUUGAAUCCCCUAGCCAACUAGGUAAUAAAAAUGUUGGGUGAAAAAAAUCUGAAGUUGCCUUACGUUGACACCUUUUUGCAAAUCCAAUCAGUUUCCCACAUUGUUUCAACGUCAUCAGAUUACAAUUUUUGGUUGAAAUUACAUGCGAACAACUUUAAUGCAAAAAGUUUUUGCCCAGUGGGAGGUGCUUUUAUAGGCUUCCCUUAUUAUGGACUGACCCACUGGAAAAUAUACAGGGUCGGAUUCACUAGGCACGAAACUGAAAAAAACUGUUUGAAACUGGGAGGUACUAUAUGAGCUCGUUUUGCUACAGUGUGCCCUAAUGAAUAUGACCCAGGUUUGCUUUAUAUUUUCUUUAGCUCAGUGUAGCCUAGCCUGAUGCAUUAGCCUUGCAGCGCCACAAUCCCAUUAGGGAGCUUGAUAUACCAGUCUUCCAUCUACAAAUCUAGCUUGGCCGAGAGCCUCUUAGCUUCACCCGGGGAGACAUCCAGUCCAGGAAAAACAACAUUGAGACUGUUUAAGGAAUAAGGACAGACAUGGAGCUCAAUCUGGCCAUGGCCCAGUAAGUGCAUCUCAGUUCAAGGUGAAAAGGCCUACGUUACAGCUUUGACGUGGAUUACGACAUGUUGUGCAAUUUACAGUCAAAUCAAUGUCAGAAUGUUUUGUAUAGCAUAUGAGGUCCCUAGCUUGGGUAUCUAGCCUACCUGACUGUUUCAGCAUUCAGACACAUUACAUUGUCUUGACAGCAGCUAAUGGGGCUCCAUAAUAAAUACAAAUACCAAUUCCAGAAAACAACUUCAAAAUGUGUGUGUGCCCACCGGAUGUAAAUGACUAUCAACAUUGUUGUUCUAUGGCUGGCCUAGGUUGUAUUCAUUAGGGCAUACUGUAGUUGACGUAGGAAAGUGUUUUACAACAGAAAAUGAAAACAAGCCUUUCUUAUUGGACAAGUUCAGGCAGUCCCUCCCUGUUUCAAUCUGUUUUGUUCCCUUUGGUGCCCAAUGAAAAUGAACCAGGCUGGUUGUGAAAGGCCUGGCAUUCACUCACCUAAUUGACUUCUCUGUUAUGUUAAGAUGUUCUGUUCUGAGAAGAUUUGCGGGCAUCAAGCUGGGAACCCCUUUAAGGACAAUUGCUUUCGAUGUGAAAUGCUUACAUGGCAGUAAUGAAUGUCCUCUGGCAUAAUCCAUGGACCACUGGUUAUGGACGAUUCCUUCAUAGUGAUUGGUUGAUCAGCAGCUCCAUGGUUCCACAGUGAAAGACUGUGAAGAAUUAACCACAGGAUGAGAAUCACAUACUGAGGGACUUUACCAGACAAAUUAGCUUGGUCUGAGGGGCUUUGUGUUUUCUAUUGAUUCAAUUGCUGUGCUGUCAUGACAGUCUUGACAGCUUAUAAAUAGAAUCAGUAGAAAGAAUGAGAUGGGGUGGUACAGCCUCAUUAAAUAGUAUUUUCAGUCUAUCAUGGGUACUAGAUUGAGUUUUAUUUGUUUUAAUGAAUUCCAUUUCAGAUUAAUUAAAGCAUUUGGGGAGUUGUAUGAUCAUUUGAAUUGAGGAGAGAGUGUCUAGGUCGGCAUUACCUUGAAUAAUGUUCAGGACAAGCUGACAUGAGGGUAUAUACAGGGACUAUAGGCUAGGGUACCAUACGUUUUUAUCAAUUCACAACCCUUGGGGCCUGGGGAAACCUGUCUGACAUAAUUCCUGUUCUAAAGCUGCUCCAAGUCACCUGACUGGAACAUUAGUGAAGCCUCUGUGUCCAACCUCUUAUCAGUUCAAGUGCUUUCAUGAUCGAGUCCUUCCUAAUUACUGACACCAACUCGGGAGUCCCUCCUGUUUAAUGACCUCUUUUAGUAGGCCUACUGCAGAGACUCAGCACCAAGGAGCUUCAGAACAGAGGACAGCGCUCCCCCAACCACCUGCCUGCCAACAUGGGACAGACGCACCACACGGAGCAGAAUGACCCAGAGAUCGAUGUCAAGGCGCUCCAGGACAUGUACAAAAAGUUUGUGACGGAGUGCCCGAGCGGUGUUUUAUUUAUCCACGAGUUCAAGCGUUUUUUUGGCGUCGACCCAACUGGGGAAGUCUCUGAGUAUGCGGAGAGUAUGUUUCGAGCUUUUGACAAGAAUGGGGUGAGAUAGCCUAUUGUAUGCUGUAUGUUUCUGAGUUUAUAGUUUUCUAUAUCCUUGCAAAUGAACACGGGCACCGUUUUUCUAAGUUUAGGGAAAAAAACGAUUGUUUUCAAUUUGUCUAUGUCUUUUCAGGAUAACACCAUUGAUUUUCUGGAGUUUGUGGCAGCCUUGAAUCUGGUUUUCCGGGGGGACUUGGAGCACAAAUUACGCUGGUCAUUUAAAGUAUACGACAAGGACGGCAACGGCUAUGUAGAUAGGACAGAACUGCGAGCUAUUAUUGAUGUAAGCACCCAGUGAAGGUCGCCCGAGGAUUCCACAAGGUCACUACGGUGUCUAGUGAUUAAAUUAUCCAAGGGUCUUAUGGGAGUGUCUUCUUCAGUGGUGAUAAAUAAGCCGAAGCAGACAAUCAGUUUAUCAGUUAAAACUUUCUGUUCAGAUGGCUAACUUUUAACAAUUCUGAUGAGCCAAUUCUGUGUGUAUGUGUGUGUGUAGGCUACUUUUGGCAUGAGGUGUGGUUUAAAUUACAAAUCUAAAACAACUUUGAUGUGUAAAAACAUUAAGUGUGAAUGCACACCUGCAAACAGGUGCUAUUGAUGUAAGUUAGGCCUAACAAUAGUAAAGGUUUUUAGGCCCUCUUACUUUGUGAAUGAUCUUGUCCCAAAUAAUUUAGAACCAUAGACUGUAUGUAUUGGUUACACACUGUUGCUUCUUAAUUUCCCCCCUAGAGUAUAUAUCGAUUAAAGACGACGUCCAAGAGAGAGCAGGAGGGUAUGCAGCUGUCGGUGAAUGAAGUGUGUGAAAGAAUACUGAAGACUGUGGAUGUGGACAAUGACGGUCACAUCACCCUGGAGGAGUUCAUCAAGGGGGCCCAGGGAGACCCAUGGAUCAUGAACAUGCUCCAACUGGACAUGAACCCUUAUGGCUGGGUGCUGGAACAGAGAAGGAAGAGCGCACACUUUUAAAAUGACUGGAAAGACAAAAGCAUCUUCAUUUAACAUUUUUCUUUAUUUUUUCCCCUUUUUUUUUCUUAAACUAAAUUAGGUUCCAAAUCAAUUGCACAUAAUAGGAAAAAACACAUUGCAGAUUCAUUCAGAUUGUUUAAGCUAUUUUUAAUUAUAAGGACAGGAAUGGUUGUGUCGAUUACCUUCCAUAAAUUCCAUGAGAUGAACAGCUUGUUCAUUCUGAGUGAACCUGCAGUGCAGUUUUUCUUUAUCUAUAGAUGAUUUAAUUGGGGCCUUAAAACAAUGUCAGUUCCACUUUAACUACUUUGCAGAUAUGAAACAAACAGACAAUCAUAAUAUCAAUACAAAAUAUAAAAUUCCCAGAUCAUGCUACAAAACCAACUUAAUAAGAGGUUUUAAAAAUAGGUUCUAUUUCACUCAAAAUUCCAUGACAUACAGUAAGGCAUUGUUGGGAGAAUAGAUGGAUGCAGUUCAAUGCAUGAAUAAUAUAAUUCACCAAUACAGUGCAUUCGGAAAGUAUUCAGACCUUGACUUUUUCCACAUUUUGUUACGUUACAGCCGUAUUCUAAAAUGGAUUAAAUCAUUUUUUUCCCUCAUCAAUCUACACACAAUAACCCAUAAUGACAAAGCAAAAACAGGUUUUUAGAAAUGUUAGCAAAUGUAUUAAAAAUAAAAAAAAAUGAAAUAUAACAUUUACAUAAGUAUUCAGACCUUUACUCAGUACUUUGUUGAAGCACCUUUGGCAGUGAUUACAGCCUUGAGUCUUCUUGGGUAUGACGCUACAAGCUUCGCACACCUGUAUUUGGCAAGUUUCUCCCAUUCUUCUAUGCAGAUCCUCUCAAGCUCUGUCAGGUUGGAAUAAGGAGAAGAGCUGCACAGAUAUUUUCAGGUCUCUCCAGAAAUGUUAGAUUGGGUUCAAGUCUGGGCUCUGACUGGGCCACUCAAGGAAAUUCAGACACUUGUCCCGAAGCCACUCCUGCAUUGUCUUGGCUUUGUGCUUAGGGUCCUUGUCCUGUUGGAAGGUGAACCUUCACCCCAGUCUGAGGUCCUGAGCACUCUGGAAAAGGUGUUCAUCAAGGAUCUCUCUGUACUUUGCUCCGUUCAUCUUUCCUGCAAUCCUGACUAGUCUCCCAGUCCCUGCCGCUGAAAAACAUCCCCACAGCAUGAUGCUGCCACCACCAUGCUUCACCUUAGGGAUGGUGCCAGGUUUCCUCCAGACGUGACGCUUGGCAUUCAGGCUAAAGAGUUCAAUCUUGGUUUCAUCAGACCAGAGAAUCUUGUUUCUCAUGGUCUGAGAGUCCUUUAGGUGCCUUUUGGCAAACUCCAAGCGGGCUGUCAUGUGUCUUUUACUGAGGAGAGGCUUCCAUCUGGCCACUCUACCAUAAAGGCCUGAUUGGUGAAGUGUUGCAGAGAUGGUUGUCUUUCUGGAAGGUUCUCGCAUUGCCACAGAGGAGCUCUGAAGCUCUGUCAGAGUGACCAUCGUGUUCUUUGUCACCUCCCUGACCAAGGCCCUUUUCCCCUGAUUGCUCACUUUGGCUGGGCGGCCAGCUCUAGGAAGAGUCUUUGUGGUUCCAAACUUCUUCCAUAUAAGAAUGAUGGAGAACACUGUGUUCUUGGGGACCAUCAAUGCUGCAGGCAUUUUUUUAUACCCCAGAUCUGUGCAUCGACACAAUCAUGUCUCGGAGCUCUACGGACAAUUCCUUAUAUAGACAGGUGUGUGUCUUUCAAAUCAUGUCCAAUCAAUUGAAUUUACCACAUGUGGGAUCCAAUCAAGUUGUAGAAACAUUUCAAGGAUGAUCAAUGUAAACAGGCUGCACCUGAGCUCAAUUUCGAGUCUUAUAGCAAAGGGUCUGAAUACCUGUUUUCGCUUUGUCAUUAUGGGGUAUUGUGUGUAGAUUGAUGAGGAUUUUUUUUUUAUUUAAUCCAUUUUAGAAUAAGGCUGUAACGAAACAAAAUGUGGAAAAAGUUAAGGGGUCUGAAUAAUUUCAAUAUGCACUGUACAUUUCUUGGUAGUCCAAAAAAUAUUGCUAUCAAGUUGUAAAUCACAGUUGGCCUGGUACAUUGUUUGCUGCCUCCACUUAAAUCGGGAUGCAUUGUUUCAGUUUCAAUCACUCAAUAUUUUGGGACAAAACUGGACGAAUGUAACUAUGGCUGGGAAUGUCAAUACAAUCAAACUUGCAAGGGCAAUGAUCACAAGAUUUUAGCUCAUCUCGCUCUGGCUAGUAUUAGUUGUUUAUCUUGUGGUUGUUGAUGUGCAUAACUGAAGGUGUCAUGCUCUGACCUAGGAGAGCUGUGUUUUCUCUGUUUAGUUAGGUCAGGGUGUGAUAGGAGGGUGGGCAUUCUAUGUUUUGUUUUCUAUGUUUUGGCCGGGUAUGGUUUCCAAUCAGAGGCAGCUGUCUCUCGUUGUCUCUGAUUGGAAGCCAUACUUAGGCAGCCUGUUUUCCCUGUGUUUUUGUGGGAUCUUGUUUUUGUGCAGCUGUGUGUGAGCAGCCCCAGAACGUCACAUUUGUUUCAGUUUCCCCUGUUUAUUGUUUUGUUCAAGUUCACAAAUACAAUAUGUGGAACUACCGGCACGCUGCGCCUUGGCUGAUCUUUGACAGGGAAUUCGAAGACAGCACUCGUGACAGAAGAUCCCACCAAAAGAAAGCCAAGCAGCGUGCGCUCACCAGGAAGACGAGUGGGACCAAGCAGUGUGGUUCAGAGGACUGGACCUGGGAAGAGAUCCUGGAUGGGGCAGGACCUUGGACAAGGCCGGGAGAGUAUCGCCGCCCGCCGGAGGAGAUAGAGGCAGCGAAGGCGGAACGGCGAUACUGGGAAGAACGGCUAAGAGAGCUACAGGAGCCCGAGAGGCAGCGGCAAAAAAAAAAAUUGUGGGGGGGGGGGCACACGGGUAGAUUGGCUAAGGCGGGUGUAAGACCUGAGCCAACUCCCCGUGCUUACCGUGGGGAGCGAGUGACUGUACAAGCACCGUAUUAUGCGGUGGUGCGCACGGUGUUGCCCAUGCGCACUCACAGCCCGGUGCGCUCGGUGCAAGCUCCUCACCGUUGUUGUGCUAAGGUUGGCACUCAGCCAGCUUGGAGUAUGCCAUCAUUCACUUUGAGCUGGACUGUGUGUUUACAGGCAGUAGGGCCUGCCAUCAUUCACUUUGAACUAGACUGUGUGUUAACAGGCAGUAGGACCUGCCAUUCUGAAAUAAUUCAGAAUAGCCUACUACACCAUGAAAAUGCCCUUAAUUUAGCCACAGAGGAUCAACAGCUUCUUUAAAAAAAAUGCCAAGCUGUGGAUUGUGUGUAGCCCAAUAACAAGGCAUGGCCUACAGUCGGGAACGCGCUGCAAAUCUGUCAGUGAACAGUAUGCAGACAAAAUGGGCUUUCUAAAUAUUUCUAAAACAAUUGCGGGAAAACACAGGUUGGAAACCAAAUGUCUCCUGCUAAAAAGAGAAGAAGUCUGCUGUAGCAUAACAAAAUAUUUGAUCAACUUCCAAAUAUUGUUUUACAAAGUAAUCUGACUAUGUCGUAUGGCUGUGGGCUACACUAGUUCAUUUAGCAGACAAGAUUUGCUUAGAAUUCUGAGGCAUUAUUUUAUAUCUGUCAUGACCGUCGUUUAAAUAACUGGACCAAGGCGCAGCGUGAGUAGAGUUCCACAUUUUAUUGCUCGUGAAACUUCAAAAAAUAAAAAAGAUAUAACGAUCGUGCAAAACGUAGCGCACAAAGGCACUCGCACAAAACAUUAUCCCACCAUGCAGGUGAGAAAAGGGACACACUAAGUAUAAUCCCCAAUUAGAGGCAAAGAUAUUCAGCUGCCUACAAUUGGGAACCAUACUCACACACCAACAUAGAACUAUAAUAACUAGAAAAAAAACCUAGUCACGCUCUGACCUAUUACACCAUAGAGAACCCCGAGGGCGCUCUAUGGUCAGGGUGUGACAAUAUCAUUUUAUAGUAUGAAGAAUAUAGUUUAACAUAGCUGAAUAAAAUAUAAAUCAUAUUUUCUCCAAACGAUUUGGGGGAGUGUGGACAUGCAGCAAUUCUGUGUUGAGCAGUUAACAAAGAAACAGCUAUUCCUAUAUGCUUAAUUUAGAGUUAUUUAUGAAACUUUAGUUGUGAUGCAAAUGUUGGGCUAUAUAUAUAUUUUGAUUUUAAUACAUUCUAAGGCUGUAUGGUGCUACUCUCAUUAUGAUUUUUUAAAAGUUGCAUGAAAGGCAUGAGCUCAGCUUUGUUUUUUUGCGCAGGCUGUACAGACUCAUUCACAAUCUGACAAACACUUGAUAAUUCCUCAAAUUUCCUGGCUGCAUCCCCUGUGUGGCCGUAAUGCUCCUUAAAAAAAAUCCAUGCCUUUUGCGGCCAGUAGCCAUUGUGCCCUUGGGCUGAAUAUGAUCAUUAUAAUUCCUAUGGACAGCCAUGUGAGCACCUCUCACUCACGUGGCUGUCCAUCACGUGAUCGGGUCUUUCUCACAGGCUACAAGUGAAGACAGACUCGGGGACGCAACGGCGCACAUCCAUAUCCAGUUCUGAGGUGCAUAUUGGAAGAACUGUCUAAAUUUACUUUUCGUCAGCCAACAAGAUGAGUAGGCCUACCGAACAGCUAAAGUACUAGCCUAUGUCAAUCUACUAUCCCCCAUAAUACAAAAGUUGACCUAUUCUAUUCUGUGCGAGAAAUAAAUAUUCCAAACAUAGUGUCAUGACUAUCUCUAUCUUGGUGAGGAUCACAGGACAACAGAUAGCCCAAACCCCCUCUCUCCCAGAGGAGAGGGGGAGUUGGGCUGGUUUUAGGACUUAAUGACAGGUCGUAAACUUUCUCUCUCUUGCACUGCAGUAUGGAGAAGUUAAAAAUCCUUUCGUUACAACAGAGAGAAACUGUGACACCAAAACUUCAACAUCAAAAGAUUGGACAUUGGAACAUUUGUUUUGAAAUCCAAAUGUUUGGAAUGGUUGGUAAGGAUCCAAACAAUAAUCAUGUCAUCAUUUAUUAUUUUGUGAUGUCAUAAGGAUGGUAUAACAAGAUAACUGUAACUCUAAGAGUGUACACGCCCGAGUUGUCAGGUUUGCAUCUAAAUGUUGUAUAAAAUCAAUGAUUAAAACAUACCUGUCUGAAGAUUUACAGGUGCAAAUACUUAGCUAGUCCCCCCCUUCAUUUUAGAGCCCGUUUAUUACUAUGC